GACUGCCUACGGGGCGCAGCAGUGAGGAAUAUUGGUCAAUGGGCGGGAGCCUGAACCAGCCAAGUCGCGUGAAGGAAGAAGGUACUUAGUAUUGUAAACUUCUUUUGUCGGGGAACAAAGGCGGAGACGCGUCUCCGGAUGAGUGUACCCGAAGAAAAGGCAUCGGCUAACUCCGUGCCAGCAGCCGCGGUAAUACGUAGGGGGCAAGCGUUAUCCGGAUUCACUGGGCGUAAAGGGAGCGCAGGCGGCACGGCAAGUCUGGUGUGAAAGCCCGGGGACCAACCCCGGGACUGCAUUGGAAACCG
rnacentral:rRNA from 1 species